UCGUUCCGAAAGAAGGGCUUUGGGUGGUCAACUGCUUUAGUACGGAACGAAACGGCGAGCUCUAAUACAGUUUGCUAAUGACGGUACCGUAAGAAUAAGCACCGGCUAACUACGUGCCAGCAGCCGCGGUAAUACGUAGGGUGCAAGCGUUAAUCGGAAUUACUGGGCGUAAAGCGUGCGCAGGCGGUUUUGUAAGACAGUCGUGAAAUCCCCGGGCUCAACCUGGGAAUUGCGAUUGUGACUGCAAAGCUGGAGUGCGGCAGAGGGGGAUGGAAUUCCGCGUGUAGCAGUGAAAUGCGUAGAUAUGCGGAGGAACACCGAUGGCGAAGGCAAUCCCCUGGGCCUGCACUGACGCUCAUGCACGAAAGCGUGGGGAGCAAACAGGAUUAGAUACCCUGGUAGUCCACGCCCUAAACGAUGUCAACUGGUUGUUGGGUCUCUUCUGACUCAGUAACGAAGCUAACGCGUGAAGUUGACCGCCUGGGGAGUACGGCCGCAAGGUUGAAACUCAAA
rnacentral:rRNA from 1 species